rnacentral:rRNA from 1 species
UUCGGCAGCUAGCUCUCUGCAACUCUCACAUGGUCGCCCACUGAAGCUAAGCAGGGCUGCGCCCGGUCAGUACCUGGAUGGGAGACCACAUGGGAAAGCUAGGUUGCUGCCGGAA